UCACAUAAUGCUAAGCGGCUAUCGUAGCCUAUAGACGCCUGCAACACCAGAAGUAUGUGCAAGACCAAUGAAGAUUGCUGCAAUAAAGCAUGUUUUCCAUUGAUGUGGAAAUGCAUGUCAUAAUUUUAUUUUAAAAGAAUCUAAUAUUAUAUUAUUUUAUUAUUUUACGGUACAGAAGGGUUACGAUUGGAUAAUUCAGGAGAAUUUGGAACUUUUUCGUAAAAUUAUUUUAUCUAAAUAUAAUAUUGUAUAAUACAAUAAAAUGAAAUAAAAUGUA